rnacentral:rRNA from 1 species
AAACUCAAAUGAAUUGACGGGUCCCCGCACAAGCAGCGGAGCGUGUGGUUUAAUUCGUUGCUACACGAAGAACCUUACCUGGGUUUGACAUAGCAGUGGUAGGGAAGAGAAAUCGGACCGACCCUUCGGGGAGCUGUUACAGGUGUUGCAUGGCUGUCGUCAGCUCGUGUCGUGAGAUGUUCGGUUAAGUCCGCUAACGAGCGCAACCCGCGUUGUGUGUUAUAUGUGUCACACAAUACCGCCGGUAUUAAGCCGGAGGAAGGUGCGGAUGACGUCAAGUCAGCAUGACCUUUAUAUCCAGGGCUACACACACGCUACAAUGGACAGUACAACAGGUUGCCAAGCCGCGAGGCGGGGCCAAUCCCAGAAAGCCGAUCGUAGUCCGGAUCGCAGUCUGCAACUCGACUGCGUGAAGUCGGAAUCGCUAGUAAUCGUGGAUCAGCAUGUCACGGUGAAUACGUUCCCGGGUCUU